GAUGACUCCAGCUUGCUGGGGGGAUUAGUGGCGAACGGGUGAGUAACACGUGAGUAACCUGCCCUUGACUCUGGGAUAAGCGUUGGAAACGACGUCUAAUACCGGAUACGACCAGCCUCGGCAUCGGGUGUUGGUGGAAAGAAUUUUGGUCAAGGAUGGACUCGCGGCCUAUCAGGUAGUUGGUGAGGUAAUGGCUCACCAAGCCUACGACGGGUAGCCGGCCUGAGAGGGUGACCGGCCACACUGGGACUGAGACACGGCCCAGACUCCUACGGGAGGCAGCAGUGGGGAAUAUUGCACAAUGGGCGAAAGCCUGAUGCAGCAACGCCGCGUGAGGGACGACGGCCUUCGGGUUGUAAACCUCUUUUAGCAGGGAAGAAGCGAAAGUGACGGUACCUGCAGAAAAAGCACCGGCUAACUACGUGCCAGCAGCCGCGGUAAUACGUAGGGUGCAAGCGUUGUCCGGAAUUAUUGGGCGUAAAGAGCUCGUAGGCGGUUUGUCGCGUCUGCUGUGAAAACCCGAGGCUCAACCUCGGGCCUGCAGUGGGUACGGGCAGACUAGAGUGCGGUAGGGGAGAUUGGAAUUCCUGGUGUAGCGGUG
rnacentral:rRNA from 1 species